CUACGGGCGGCUCCAGUGAGGAAUAUUGCACAAUGGGGGGAACCCUGAUGCAGCAACGCCGCGUGGAGGAUGACGCAUUUCGGGGUGUAAACUCCUUUUAUAUGUCAAGAAAAUGACGGUAGCAUAUGAAUAAGCACCGGCUAACUCCGUGCCAGCAGCCGCGGUAAUACGGAGGGUGCAAGCGUUACUCGGAAUCACUGGGCGUAAAGGGCGCGUAGGCGGGUUGGAAAGUCAGGUGUGAAAUCCUACAGCUUAACUGUAGAACUGCACUUGAAACUUCUAAUCUAGAGUAUGGGAGGGGGAGAUGGAAUUAGUGGUGUAGGGGUAAGAUCCGUAGAUAUCACUAGGAAUACCUAAAGCGAAGGCGAUCUCCUGGAACAUUACUGACGCUAAGGCGUGAAAGCGUGGGGAGCAAACAGGAUUAGAUACCCCAGUAGUC
rnacentral:rRNA from 1 species